CGUUCGGUGGCCGAGGCGUUCGUCGCCGUAUCUCGUGUUCUUGUGAAGAUCCUCGGUUCCAACAGCAACGGCCUCCCUCCACCCCCUGCCGCACCUCUCCACCAGGCCGCGCGGUUGCCGCGGAGAAGGCCGUAGCCUGGCCGCCAGCUUCAUCGGCACCGCGGCCUCGUGCCCGCCCGUCGCCGCCCGCGUCCUCCCCCGACUUGCCUCCGCCACAGCUUCUAUGAACGCGUCGAUCCGCCUCGCCAUCUGGGACCCACUCGCCGCCGGCGACCGCGGUCAUAUCAACCUGCCCGCCCUAGCGAUGCCGCGGCGCCCGAGGAGCAGGAACGCCGCGCUGGUGUGCAAGGACGACCCGGGAGGGCCCUUCCACGUCGUCCUCAUGGGCACGGACGACCUCGCCACGCCGGCCAUGUCCGUUGUGCACCUGCCUCCAGCGUCCCAUAACCAGCGCAUCGCGCUCAACCUGACGGAGGACGGCAACCUGGGGUUCGUGAGGAUGGAGGCCGGCUUGACGUUCUUCUGCUCCGCCACGACCACAUCCGUCGCACGGUAGCAGGUCCUUGUUAAACUGUCUAGCUUAAGUGCAUCCAGCCUGCUUUGAAAGUGUCUCCAAAGCAGUCAUCAAUGGCUUCCCCAUCAGCAUCAUCCUCAUGCAUCUUCAGAAGUCUUUCAGGCAACUUCUGUGAUCUCCAAGUUAACUGAGGAGAAAAUUUCUGCUAUUCAGCAAAACCAGAAAUUGGGGCAAGAGCUGGUAAGUUCUCCAGGCAUCUGAUCGUCUGCGGCAACUGUAAAAAAUAUUGCCCUGUACCUAGGCGGAUCAAUUUCCUUCGUCCUAACUCUGCACCUCUUUGUCUCCACCAAGGUCUCUGCCUACCACUUUUAUUUUUAUUUCUAUAACGCCAGGACUUGCACAGUAAGUCCAUGCCAGAACCAGACAUAACUUUUUAGAAUUCUGCGCCUCCACAGGUCCAUCCAUCAAUAACAGUUAGCAAAACAGUUACCAAUGGUCUUCUUGUCUUGUCAUCUCCAUUAUGGACACGAGGAAACAAGGUAGCUGCUGCCAGGUUCAUACACGAACCAUGCCGCACGUAUGAUACAGUAACCUUACAUAUCCGGGGUCUUCUAACCGUACUUAAAUACUACCUCAUUGCUUUAUUCCUCCACACCAAAAGAUGCUUUUGACAUCGUUGGAACUGCCGCUUACCAUAGGCGUUCAACGGCACGUCACAGCAGUCGUCCGACGGGCUUGCAGCUAAUUAUUAAGACAUCUCCACCAAGGUUUAGCUGAAGUAGUGUUAGACCCACUUUUAGUUAUGUCCGUUGAACCGAACAUUUGUGAUAUUUGUGCUAUGUAGUAGUACUUGCUAUUUUAGUUGCCGUCAUAUCAGUGAAUUGGCAACUUAGUUAUCCUAUUUCGAUGUUUUCUUACUUUAGUUGAACAACCGUAUGCUUUAAUUCUUAAUGCAAAUCAUCUGCGUGUUAAAUA